rnacentral:lncRNA from 1 species
CAUUUCAUUAAUGUAGAAAAUUUGGUUCUGGAUGGUUGGCCUCUUCAUCACUUCAUUGAUGUCAAAGUGGAGGAUGUUCCCUUGUUCAAGAUGUAGAUCAAUCUUUUCUUGUCUAACAUUCACAAUAGCUCCAGCUGUGGCUAAGAAUGGUCUUCCAAGGAUUAAAGGGUCUUGGGCUUCCUCCCUCAUCUCCAACACAACAAAAUCAGUAGGGAUCUCAAAGUUACCAACCAUCAAGGGAAGGUCUUCUAAGAUACCAACAUGAAUCUUCACUAAUCUAUCAGCCAACACCAAAGAGAGUUUACACUUCUUGUAUUGAGUAAAUCCAAGCUUCUUUGCAAUAGAUAAAGGCAUCAAGCUGACACUAGCUCCAAG